rnacentral:lncRNA from 12 species
GAAUUUCUUGACAAAAGAGUUUUGUUGUUUUUUUUUUUUUUUUUUUUUUCUUUUUCUUUCCUUUCCUUUUCUCUCUUUCCCUCCCUUUCCUUCCUCGCAGCCGGGACUGGAGUCUCCUCAGCGAAACUCCUGUGCUUUCGCGGCCGCAUCAUGCAGAGCUGCUUCCACAACUGAUUUCUGUCCAUGAUGUCCUAGGAGAAUUAUUACUGGUCAGCAGCAGUUGUCUCCAUGGACUUUACUGUCUUCAUCUCCUUCCUCUCACUUUCUGCUCACCGUUUGCAGGCAUCCUCCCAAACUCUUUUAUCUUUGUGACCCAUCCUCCUUUCCUCAGCAGCAGCAGGAGAAAGGGAGGUGGUGCACACAGGAGAGGCACCCAGAUCUCACAGGAAGGGAGGAGCACUCGUGGUCCCCACUGCCUUGGGCACAGACUGUACCUGGCUGCUCCACAAAAGCCCCCGGACACAAAGCAUGCUCUGUCA